AUUGAACGCUGGCGGCAUGCCUUACACAUGCAAGUCGAACGGUAACGCGGGGCAACCUGGCGACGAGUGGCGAACGGGUGAGUAACGCAUCGGAACGUGCCCAGUAGUGGGGGAUAGCCCGGCGAAAGCCGGAUUAAUACCGCAUACGACCUACGGGUGAAAGGGGGGGAUCGCAAGACCUCUCGCUAUUGGAGCGGCCGAUGUCAGAUUAGGUAGUUGGUGGGGUAAAGGCCGACCAAGCCGACGAUCUGUAGCUGGUCUGAGAGGACGACCAGCCACACUGGGACUGAGACACGGCCCAGACUCCUACGGGAGGCAGCAGUGGGGAAUUUUGGACAAUGGGCGCAAGCCUGAUCCAGCCAUGCCGCGUGCGGGAAGAAGGCCUUCGGGUUGUAAACCGCUUUUGUCAGGGAAGAAACGCGCUGAGUUAAUACCUCGGCGUAAUGACGGUACCUGAAGGAUAAGCACCGGCUAACUACGUGCCAGCCGCCGCCGUAAGAC
rnacentral:rRNA from 1 species